rnacentral:rRNA from 1 species
GACGAACGCUGGCGGCGCGCCUAACACAUGCAAGUCGAACGAGCGAGAGAGAGCUUGCUUUCUUGAGCGAGUGGCGAACGGGUGAGUAACGCGUGAGGAACCUGCCUCAAAGAGGGGGACAACAGUUGGAAACGACUGCUAAUACCGCAUAAGCCCACGGUGCCGCAUGGCACAGAGGGAAAAGGAGCAAUCCGCUUUGAGAUGGCCUCGCGUCCGAUUAGCUAGUUGGUGAGGUAACGGCCCACCAAGGCGACGAUCGGUAGCCGGACUGAGAGGUUGAACGGCCACCUUGGGACUGAGACACGGCCCAGACUCCUACGGGAGGCAGCAGUGGGGAAUAUUGCACAAUGGGGGAAACCCUGAUGCAGCGACGCCGCGUGGAGGAAGAAGGUCUUCGGAUUGUAAACUCCUGUUGUUGGGGAAGAUAAUGACGGUACCCAACAAGGAAGUGACGGCUAACUACGUG